AGGAUGAACGCUGGCGGCGUGCUUAACACAUGCAAGUCGAACGAUGAAAGCCGGAGCUUGCUCUGGCUGGAUUAGUGGCGAACGGGUGAGUAACACGUGAGUAACCUGCCCCAGACUCUGGGAUAAGCACUGGAAACGGUGUCUAAUACCGGAUACGAGCUUCAGCCGCAUGGCUAGGAGCUGGAAAGAAUUUCGGUCUGGGAUGGACUCGCGGCCUAUCAGGUAGUUGGUGAGGUAACGGCUCACCAAGCCGACGACGGGUAGCCGGCCUGAGAGGGUGACCGGCCACACUGGGACUGAGACACGGCCCAGACUCCUACGGGAGGCAGCAGUGGGGAAUAUUGCACAAUGGGCGCAAGCCUGAUGCAGCAACGCCGCGUGAGGGACGACGGCCUUCGGGUUGUAAACCUCUUUUAGUAGGGAAGAAGCGAAAGUGACGGUACCUGCAGAAAAAGCACCGGCUAACUACGUGCCAGC
rnacentral:rRNA from 1 species